rnacentral:rRNA from 1 species
CAGUAGCCGCGGUAAUACGAGGGGGGCAAGCGUUGUUCGGAAUUAUUGGGCGUAAAGGGUGCGUAGGCGGCUUGACAAGUCUUGUGUGAAAUCUAUGGGCUCAACCCAUAGUCUGCACGGGAAACUGUCUGGCUUGAGAAUGGGAGAGGUGAGUGGAAUUUCCGGUGUAGCGGUGAAAUGCGUAGAUAUCGGAAGGAACACCUGUGGCGAAAGCGGCUCACUGGACCAUUUCUGACGCUGAUGCACGAAAGCUAGGGGAGCAAACAGGAUUAGAUACCCGAGUAGUCCCUGUCUCUUAUAC